AACGAACGCUGGCGGCAGGCCUAACACAUGCAAGUCGAACGCUCGUAGCAAUACGGGAGUGGCAGACGGGUGAGUAACGCGUGGGAACGUGCCCUUCGGUUCGGAAUAACUCAGGGAAACUUGAGCUAAUACCGGAUACGUCCGUAAGGAGAAAGAUUUAUCGCCGAAGGAUCGGCCCGCGUCGGAUUAGCUAGUUGGUGAGGUAACGGCCCACCAAGGCGACGAUCCGUAGCUGGUCUGAGAGGAUGAUCAGCCACACUGGGACUGAGACACGGCCCAGACUCCUACGGGAGGCAGCAGUGGGGAAUAUUGGACAAUGGGCGAAAGCCUGAUCCAGCCAUGCCGCGUGAGUGAAGAAGGCCUUAGGGUUGUAAAGCUCUUUCAGCGGGGAAGAUAAUGACGGUACCCGCAGAAGAAGCCCCGGCUAACUUCGUGCCAGCCGCCGCAGUAAC
rnacentral:rRNA from 1 species